AAGCAGUCAAACCCUCGCGCUCCCAAUUUGCUUUGGGAGCGCGAGGGUUUGACUGCUGA
rnacentral:pre_miRNA from 1 species